rnacentral:lncRNA from 1 species
GUGGAGAUUAGUAUGUUACCAGACACAGUUUUUCUUCUUCCUCCUUUUCAUGAUAAAUGCCCUCUCGCCCUGCCACCAAACCGCUCUAUUUUUAGCUCUGAUGUCAAAGAGGCCUGCAAGAAUCUCUGUGGGCUGCGAUUCACAUGAACGAUGAAAUCAUCACAAAGUACAGUCUCUCUUUUUCACCCCUGCGCUGCGAAAGGAGUGUGUGAAAUGGAAAUGAGUGUUGCUUUUUUGUCCUCGUGACACGAGAAACUAGGCGCUCUUGUGAACGAUGGAACGCCAUCAGAUCCGCCGAAAAACUGGAGCGCCGGUGGAGGGAGGGAGCGAGAAGAGAACAAAAACAACUCAGAGGACCAAAACAGAUUUUGACAAGAGAGAGGGGGAAAGAGAAGCAGACAGGCCAGUCUUUUGUGUGCUAGACAGACUUGUUUAGGACGAGGAGGAUUUGAUCAGCUGAUAACGUGAGUGACUAUUUGCACUGGCUGAUCUGGGCUCUGAGUUUCUGCAUCAGACGCAGAAGAAAGUGUGCAUGGUAAACAGAGCUGCGGUCCAGCGUCAGCAUCCCGUGGCUCAUUGUAUCCACAUCCUGCUCUAUACAAUCCCAGACGAUAUCGCCGAGGAAAGGCUGUGUGGCGUCUCCUCCUCUGCUGGCAGUCGGGCUCAAGUUUGUGGGAUGAAAAUAAUCCGGUGUCAUCCAGUGCAGGCCGUGGCCGAGUCAGAGAGGAUACGCGGUGCUGGGUGGAUUCACUGGAUGCUUGAGCUCAGCAGGAGCUUUGCCAGGAGAGCGUGUGUGUGGAAGAAGCUGUGGUUGCACUCUUGUGGUUGUGUAUAUGUGUGUUGGCUCUUGCUGAAAGCAUUCUGUGUCUGCGCAUUUAUGAGCGGCUUAGUGGCAAAUUGUCGAAAAAUUAAGCUUUGUGAUUUUAAAUGCACAUAUGUUAAGGUACAAUAAAAUAUUAGCAUGCAUUAAAUUGGCACAUGUUUUAAAUAAACUUUUAAGGGAACAUUUUAAAGGGAUGGUUCACCCAAAAAUUGACAUUCUUUCAGGAAAGAAGUUAUUUUGACCGUUUUUGUCCACAGUCAGUUGGGUCAAAUUUUGUUUGGUUCCCAAUAUAUCUUCUUUUUUUGUUUAAGUUAUUUUGACCGUUUUUGUCCACAGUCAGUUGGUCAAAUUUGUUUGGUUCCCAAUAUAUCUCUUUUUUGUUCCAUUCAAACUCAAUAUGACUGUGAGAACUUUGUACCGCCCAGUAUCAAGUUUUCUCUCAUGAGAACUCCCCUCACAAGCUCAAUCGCUGACCUUUCUUCUAAAGUUUUGUUGGUCGUAACCCCAUAUGAGGGCUUCCAGCAUGGCAAAGCUAGCUAGAAUGUCCUCUAGAGAGCAAAAAAACUUGACAUUAGCGUGUGUAUUCAGCGUUUAGUGCAUCUUAGUCACUGGGAAACGUGUGAACUUGUUUACGUGUUUGUGUGUAGGUGCAGACGGGAAACUAAUGCUUUCAAAUGGACUCCUGACAUUAGUAACUCUCCACCUCGCUUCUCUCUCCGUCUCUCUCCACGUGUGUCCUGUUAAGGUGGGCGGUGUGUUAAAAAACAGCUUUUAAACCGAGACGGUUGAGUUUGUGACUGGGCUCCCACAGUUUGUAGAUGCUAUUUUAACCGCACGGAUCCAGUAAACGUCUCCAGGUCCGUGUGCAUAAAUAACCAGCUGAUUUGUGGUUGGUUAACGGAGACGUGCCACUGAAAAUGCUCCUCAGACAUUCAUUAAGUGGUGCCUAUUUAGGGAAGUCAAACUAGACGGGUGGUGCGUAAAGUUAUAGCAGGAAACAUACCUUCAGAUCGUCUCUUUCUGAACGGAAAGGCCAGCAGUGACUGGGCCAAGUUUUGUCUGCAAAUAGCAGCACUGGUUGAGCUGGUAUUUUGAGCUCUGGCUGACGUCUGACUGCCAGAGGAUCAUUUCACAAAACUCAUACAGUGAUGUACAGUAUUACCCUUCAGUAAGGAUGCAUUAAACAGAUCAAAAGUGACAGUGAAGACAUUUAUAAUGUUAGAAAAGAUUUCUGUUCUUUUGAACCUUCUAUUCAUCCGUGAAUCCUAAAUAAUAAAAGGUUUCCACAAAAAUAUUGAUCAGCACAACUGUGUUCAACAUUGAUAAUAAUCAGAAAUGUUUCUUGAGCAGCAAAUCAUCAUAUUAGAAUGAUUUCUGAAGAUCAUGUGACACUGAAGACUGGAGUAAUGAUGCUGAAAAUACAGCUGCACAUCACAGAAAUUGCUGAAAAUACAGCUGUGCAUCACAGAAAUAAAUUACAGUUUAACAGAUAUUCACAUAAAAAAACAGCUGUCUUACAUUCUAAUAAUAUCUUACUGUUUUACUGUAUUUUUAAUCAAAUAAAUGAGCAGAAGAAACCAUUAAAACCUGUUAUAAACCCCAAACCUUUGAACAGAAGUGUAUGUCUUUGUAAAAUUG